rnacentral:rRNA from 1 species
UACGGGGGGGGCAAGCGUUGUUCGGAAUUACUGGGCGUAAAGGGCUCGUAGGCGGCCAACUAAGUCGGAUGUGAAAUCCCCAGGCUUAACCUGGGAACUGCAUCCGAUACUGGAUGGCUUGAAUCCGGGAGAGGGAUGCAGAAUUCCAGGUGUAGCGGUGAAAUGCGUAGAUAUCUGGAGGAAUACCGGUGGCGAAGGCGGCAUCCUGGACCGACACUGACGCUGAUGAGCGAAAGCCAGGGGAGCAAACGGG